AGUUGUUCGGCACAGUCAAUUCGUUUUUCUCUUCAGCGGCGGACGGGUGAGUAACGGCUGGGAACCUGCCCUGACGAGGGGGAUAACCGUUGGAAACGACGGCUAAUACCGCAUAAUGUCUACGGACCAAAGGUGGCCUCUACAUGUAAGCUAUCGCGUUGGGAUGGGCCCAGUUAGGAUUAGCUAGUUGGUAAGGUAAUGGCUUACCAAGGCGACGAUCCUUAGCUGGUUUGAGAGGAUGAUCAGCCACACUGGGACUGAGACACGGCCCAGACUCCUACGGGAGGCAGCAGUGGGGAAUAUUGCACAAUGGGGGAGACCCUGAUGCAGCCAUGCCGCGUGUGUGAAGAAGGCCUUCGGGUUGUAAAGCACUUUCAGCAGUGAGGAAGGUGGUGUACUUAAUASGUGCARGGCUUGACGUUAGCUGCAGAAGAAGCACCGGCUAACUCCGUGCCAGCAGCCGCGGUAAUACGGAGGGUGCGAGCGUUAAUCGGAAUUACUGGGCGUAAAGCGCAUGCAGGCGGUUUGUUAAGUCAGAUGUGAAAGCCCGGGGCUCAACCUCGGAACCGCAUUUGAAACUGGCAGGCUAGAGUCUUGUAGAGGGGGGUAGAAUUUCAGGUGUAGCGGUGAAAUGCGUAGAGAUCUGAAGGAAUACCAGUGGCGAAGGCGGCCCCCUGGACAAAGACUGACGCUCAGAUGCGAAAGCGUGGGUAGCAAACAGGAUUAGAUACCCUGGUAGUCCACGCCGUAAACGCUGUCUACUUGGAGGUUGAGGUUUAGACUUUGGCUUUCGGCGCUAACGCAUUAAGUAGACCGCCUGGGGAGUACGGCCGCAAGGUUAAAACUCAAAUGAAUUGACGGGGGCCCGCACAAGCGGUGGAGCAUGUGGUUUAAUUCGAUGCAACGCGAAGAACCUUACCUACUCUUGACAUCCAGAGAACUUUCCAGAGAUGGAUUGGUGCCUUCGGGAYCMCUGAGACAGGUGCUGCAUGGCUGUCGUCAGCUCGUGUUGUG
rnacentral:rRNA from 1 species